rnacentral:tRNA from 1 species
AAAGAGGCCCGUCGGCAGUAAAGAUUGCUAACCCAUAUUUCCAUGGUUAAACUCCA